GAUAUGCAUUGGGCGCUCCGUGAGGCCUCCAGACGACACUCUGCUGUGGUUAUUUGGGGAUUUUGCUUAGGAGGCACAGCUAAGCACAUUCCCCUUUCACUCCCUAUUGCACAAGGGGCGAGAGACGUAAAGUGAGACACACACACACAGAGAGAGAGAGAGAGAUUCUUGUUUGCGAUGGACAAGACCCAAGGAGUUUUUCUAGGAGCAGCCUAAGAGUCUCUGGUUCUGACCUCGGGAUGAGUGUGUGACCGACGGCUGACCCGAUGGCAAACCGAGCAUGAUGGCCGACAUGGAGUCUGGUGGCUGGCGAUGCGUGUGCUGUCUGAAUCCUCCCCUGUAAUUAUGUGCUGGCUAAGCUUGACCUUCAGGCAAUACUUCAUCCAAAAACAAUGUGAACGAGAAGAAAAAAUAAGAAACAAACCUAGAGUGGUCGGAUUAGCCUGAUGCUAACUGGAUAUGUUCAUUCCACACUGUAAGAGUGUGGCAUUUAUUUCAGAAUGCUAACUAAUAAAAAGAACUGAAAAGGCUCUCGUUAGCAUCAAGCUAAUUGGACAUGCACAAACACUAACAGAUAAUACAACACUGUAAAUGUUACUACAAAUGAGUUACUUAUAGAUUCUGUGGGAAAUGCUAGCAUAGUAAACACUGAAUAGCGCCUAAAUAGGAAUGAUUAGCUAGCACGAGCACAUUAGCAUCCUGCUAACUGGAUACAAAUAAACAUUGAAUAAUUACUGAAACUAGAGUUCAGCUUUAGCUGUUAAUUCAGCACCAUAAUAGUUCAUUUAACCUUUUAAUAAAAAAUGCUAACACAGCAAAUAACGAAUGGAACUAAAUAGAUAUGAUCAGUUAGCAUAAACACAUUAGCAUCAUGCUAAUCGGACACUGUAAGUGUAAGUCUAGCUACAACUGUUUAAAAACGAAUUGAAGACUAAAUGUAAAUUUUCAUUUAAAAUGU